UUGACACAUUUUCUAACCUCAAUUUUGAUUGCCAAAUAAAUCAAAAUCCAAACAUCUACAAAAUAUUCAAAUCCACAGUACAGUCCAAAUCCUAAAUCAUGAUCGAAAUAACUUGUAACGAUAGAUUGGGAAAAAAGGUCCGUGUAAAAUGCAAUCCUGACGAUACUGUAGGUGAUUUAAAGAAACUGAUCGCCGCACAAACAGGGACCCGAUGGGACAAAAUAGUUUUGAAGAAGUGGUAUACAACUUUUAAAGACCACAUUCAACUACAAGAUUAUGAAAUUCAUGAUGGAAUGAACUUGGAAUUGUAUUAUCAAUAACUUAAGAUUUAAGGGUACUGUUGAAUGAAGCUUGGAGAGAAUGAUUCUUUAGUUUAUAAGCACUAACUAUUAAUAAAUAAAAAUUACUAAUUAUAUAUCUAUUAUUUUAUUCAAACAAAACAAUAUUGGUUAACAUUUGGCAGAAAUAUCACGUAAAUAAACAAAAAUUAUGCAAAA